UCCCUAGUGGCUCAGAUGGUUAAGGAUCUGCCUGAGGUGCAGAAGACCUGGGUUCGAUUCCUGGGUGGGGAA
rnacentral:tRNA from 1 species